CACAGCCUAUUUUUGUUUUGGGAGUGGUCGGUCUGCGGUUACCAAGAAAAGGGAUAUAACAUCGAAUAUUACAGAUAAAACCAAAAAGAAAACUAAAGCACCAACUACAUAAAUAAUCCAGAAAUCCCUGUAGUUUUUACAAUAAAAGUUAAGUGGACAUCAAUUAACCAACCAUGUGGUCACGGCUUGUGUUCUAAGCGCAGAUCGACCAUCCCAUAUUUUGGAGGACCACCAUUUUUUUGCCGGGUCACUCCUAAAUUUUGCCAAAAUUGUCAGAACCGGAAACCAUUACCUUAUCCAGAGCCAUCAACAUUGAAAGUGAAGCAUUUUGCUUUGUUCCUCACAGCUCUCCAUCGUCGUUGGAAUUUUGUUGUGCCUAAAGGGAGGAACCAACCCUAAGGACCUGUGUUUGUGAGCCAAGUUGUGAAAAGGGAACAACCAAAAGAUAAGCUUGUGUUUUCUUAUAUAAUUUUAACACCUUAAUUAUAUUUUCACAGUGUACACUAAAUUUAUAUGCAUAUAAAUGAGGUUAACCAGAUAGUUUUUGUAAUUCUUAAGGGGAGCUUGUUUUCUGUUAUAACGUAGGUUUUCAAAGAUAUAUAGUUAAUAUAGGUAAUGGUCAAUAAUAAAUAAAUAAUUUCUUUUAACAUUAAACAGUAAAAGUAAUAAAGGUAUAAUAAAAGUGGUUUUUAAAGAGAGGGUAAUAAAUUGACAAUAAAGUGGUUUUUUUUCAAGAUAGGGUAAUAAAGUUAUAAUAAAAGGGUUAUCAAAGAGAUGAUUAAUUAAAUUGAGAUAGGUUUUUUUAUAAUAGUUAGCUAGAAAGUUGCAGACCCAACUCAGUUAUAAAAAUAUAGUGUGAUAUAAAUCGCCCAGCAUCUAUGCACCAGUAUAGUACUGACACAUAGAUCUGGCACGUUGUUAACUGGACACUUGUUAGUCCUAUAAGAUUGUUAUACCUUGCUAACCUUAGAGUUAAGACUUUGCUAUUCCCAUGGACUUUGUUUAGAUAUAUUUCGACUAAUACCUUUUACCUCGCACAGUAGUGGUGGUUCUUUCUUUUGGCGUAACCGUUUGGGUUCUAAAUUUUCUCAACCACCACCACUACUGUUUAUCUCAUUAGUACUUAUGUAUAAUUGAUACAUUGUUAAAUGUGAAAUAAUCUUUAUUAAUAAUAUAUUUGUUGUUACUA